rnacentral:lncRNA from 1 species
CAGGGGGGAGGACCCCCCCAUCACCUCCAGGUUCACACCCACCCGCCUUCCUGGGUGCUCCCGCCCUCUCACGGUUGUCGCGAGACGCCCAGCGAGUGUGCGGGCAAGGACUGGUGCUGACGGAGAAGGGGGCACAGAGCCCUCGCUUCUCCUUUCGGGCGGCGGGAGCCUCGAGCGGGGACGAGGGCAGGAGCCGUGUGUGUGUCAGGGCCCACGCAGAGCCUUCUGGAAUCUUCUGCUCCAUCCUGCGAACGGCCCUCAGUACCCGCAGCCGCCUGGCAGGAAGGAGAGCUUCGUCCGCCCGUCAGAUUUCUGGUGACACCCCCUCCGCAGAAGGAAGUUGCUCCCAGCCGAAUUGUACCACUUCUCGUUCUGUAAACUUGCCCUUUUAAGUUCCUCAGUCUCACCAAAUGACAAAGACAAACGACUAAGUGGCAACCUGAGCCUCUUUUCAGAUUUCAUGCAAAGAGGCUGGAAGCAAAUGUGAAGGAAAUGUGAAGGAAAUAAAAAACAAAACAAAGCAAAGUAAUGAACGUGCCCACAGUCCUGAGGUUUUUAUGGAUUUGCAAUUCUGCAUCAGCCUGGCGACCAGAAGCGUGUGCAGUUUUUGAGGUUUUGCUCCCUUCCCUUCUCCCAAUAUCGCCUUCAUCACAGGUCACAAAUAGCUCCAGGGGGUCCCCAUUUCCGCUGACGUGGCAAAAUAUGGUACAAAUUAAACGGCCCUGGUGGUAUACAGAGAGCUGCCAACAUUUUCUUUUUUGGUGCUUUUAUCUUCCCAAGGGCAGAACCGGCCCUAACCAUGUGUAUUUUAUUUACAUCUCGUAUAUACCAGGACAGGAAUAGUUAACCAGAACUAAGCCAUCUGACAUUUUUCACCACAAAUUUGGU